rnacentral:rRNA from 1 species
CCUACGGGUCGCACCAGUGGGGAAUAUUGCACAAUGGGCGCAAGCCUGAUGCAGCCAUGCCGCGUGUAUGAAGAAGGCCUUCGGGUUGUAAAGUACUUUCAGCGGGGAGGAAGGUGUUGUGGUUAAUAACCACAGCAAUUGACGUUCCCCGCAGAAGAAGCACCGGCUAACUCCGUGCCAGCAGCCGCGGUAAUACGGAGGGUGCAGGCGUUAAUCGGAAUUACUGGGCGUAAAGCGCACGCAGGCGGUCUGUCAAGUCGGAUGUGAAAUCCCCGGGCUCAACCUGGGAACUGCAUUCGAAACUGGCAGGCUAGAGUCUUGUAGAGGGGGGUAGAAUUCCAGGUGUAGCGGUGAAGUGCGUAGAGAUCUGGAGGAAUACUGGUAGCGAAGGCGGCCCCCUGGACAAAGACUGACGCUCAGGUGCGAAAGCGUGGGGAGCAAACAGGAUUAGAUACCCCAGUAGUC